ACGAAGCGGAAGCAGCAA
rnacentral:snRNA from 1 species